GACGAACGCUGGCGGCGUGCUUAACACAUGCAAGUCGAACGGAAAGGCCCUGCUUUUGUGGGGUGCUCGAGUGGCGAACGGGUGAGUAACACGUGAGUAACCUGCCCUUGACUUUGGGAUAACUUCAGGAAACUGGGGCUAAUAUCGGAUAGGAGCUCCUGCUGCAUGGUGAGGGUUGGAACGUUUCGGCGGUUGGGGAUGGACUCGCGGCUUAUCAGCUUGUUGGUGGGGUAGUGGUUUACCAAGGGUUUGACGGGUCGCCGGCCUGUGAGGGUGACCGGCGACAUGGGGACUGAGGGACGGCGCAGACUGGUACGGGAGGCAGCGGGGGGGAAUAUUGCACAAGGGGCCGGAGCCUGAUGCAGCAGCGCCGCGGGCGGGAUGACGGCCUUCGGGGUGUGAACAGCUGUCGCCUGUGACGCAGCGUGAGUGACGGUAAUGGGUAAAGAAGCACCGGCUAACUACGUG
rnacentral:rRNA from 1 species